UGUUUCUGUACACAGCUUCAUGAUGCGUGGAGGAGCCGCCGACGGCGCUGCCGUGCUGUCCGAGUUCACCGUCUUGCGCAAGCCCAGCGGCGACAACAAGUACUGGCACACUGCCGUGCAUCAAGGCGAGCCCGUAACCUUUCGGGUACUCGAUGACAGCGGCAUCGACCCGGUGGACGGGGCUGGCUACGUGAUGGCGCGCGUGCAAGCCAUGCAGAAGCAUAUGCAGGAGGCCCGUGUCGACGUCGCCGCUGAGCACGCCUACCGUGCCGUGCUGGUGGAGGUGAGUCUCCUGGACGAUCCCAUGGCAGUCCCCGAAGAGACACAGCGCGACAUGGACUGUGCUGUGGACCUGUGGUGCCCGCUGCACUUGGCGCUCAUGACAUCCAACAAGGCAGCCGCGCAGGCGCUCCUGCAGUUCCACGUGGAGCAUGCGGUAACCGCGAUGACUUAUAUCGCGAGCACUCCAAGCGCAAUCGGCAACGCUGGCGCAGUGGAUGCGCUAGACUCUCCGCCGGUAGCGCCGGCGCUCGGCGAUGAUGCUCCCGAUGCGUCUGGAGACGACCAUACCGCUUCAGUCCUGCCAGUCGCUGCCUCGCCGAUUCUCGAGUGCCACGUGCAUCGAGAGCUAGGAGGUGCGGUGGUUCUGCUCGGCCACUUUGACGGUCGCGUCCGACUUUCCUCCUCUGCUGCAGUUCGCAAGAGCCGCCCGCCGACCCCAGUACGAGGGGGAUCUCCGCACGCCGCACCUGUCAGCAGCAGUCCCGGGGGCAUCGAGAGUGCCAUCGCUAGUGGCUGCCACUGCAGCACCGGCACCGCUGUCGGUGAAGACGCGCUCGUGCAGAGCCUCUGCAAGCACAACGACGCCCUCCUGCGAGAGGAAGAUGCCCUCUUCGAGGACAAGGGCGAAGAGUACUGUCUGCGCAACAUCAUCAUAGCGAUGCGCCCACUUCUGCAGAGCGUCGUCCUCGAAAUCAAGCGGCGCGCGCAGUGCACAACGACGACCGCGCCCUUGUCGCUGCAGCACCAACACCACAUUCACAAGGCGAGCCGGGCGUGUGCCACGCCGGUGGUGCCGGAGUCUGCCAUCGACUUCGUGCAUGACUACUGCAGUAGCCUUAGCAUGCUGCCCCAUCACCCGCCACUGCUGAUUGAUGGAGACACGGUUUUCGAUGUGUGCAACCACGGCGACCUUGCGUUGCUUGCCAAGGUGAUGGAUGUCUUCGAGGGCUGUUUCGCCCCCAUCCUCCGCGGACAGACAUUGCUCACCGAUCGAUGCGCUGGCGGCAGAAGCGUGGGCUUUACGGCUCUCACUGGCGCGGCGUUGCCGCACAACUCCAGCCUCAGCUCACCUCCGUCUCUCAGCGGUACGGGACAGUCUAGCUCUCCAGGCUUCCUUUCGCUGGGAGGAGACGCCAGCGCUCACAGCAUGGCGGGCACCUCACAUAAGAUUAGCGUUGGCCGCCAUUUGCACGCGCUUCCACCGGCGCCCUUCUGGUGGAGCUGCCCGCCGCAGAAUGUGCAUCGCCUGGCGUUCGUCGCCGUCUGGAUCGGGUGCCGUGAGGCAAUCGAGGAGAGCAGCGGCUCUGGUCGUCGUCGCCGCGCAGUGAGCAUCUCGAACGAGAACCGAGUGACGAUGGUCACCAUCCGGCAGCUGCAGGAGUCGCGGGUGGCAGCGCAGAAGCUGGACUCCACCAUCUGGUCCGGCCAUCUCAUCACCAUCAUGAAGCUGCUCUCACGCGAGUGUUCCUUGGAGGACUACGUAGACUUUGUUGAAGAGGGCGGCUACUUCGCCUUCACCUCCCCUCGCGGCUUCUCUGGGCUGUUCCUCUCGGUGUUGGUGUCCGGCGUCAUGGCGGCUGCGCUAGUGCAGGAGCCGGCCAUGCUGCGAGUGCUUCGGUGCAAGGUGGAGACGCUGCUGGCCGAUUUACCCGGUCGCCCGUCGCCGCUGCGCACGUACGUGAUGAGCCGUCCGAGCACGCAUGCGGAGCGCUUCAGAGAGCUGUGGCUGGAUGCUGGGUGCUAUGGGGUCGCGAAUCCUGGCGGCGGCAACGGCCAGAACGACGCUGGUGAGACUGAGACGGACGGUUUCAAUCCUGUGGGUGGAAUCCAGAGUGGUGAGCGCCGGCCCAUGAAGUUCCGCUCUCGCAUCGAACUACUAUACUACGCCGUCGUCGAGCAGGUCGUGGCGGCGGCCGAGGAGGCAUGGACGAUGCAUGAGGCCGAAGACGGCGAUUCAUCCGAGGCGGCGGGGGGUAGCGCUGCCCCGUCGUCGCCGUGGCCCUCAGGUGCAACUAAGGCGGAAGCCCUGACGGCGCUGCAGGGCUGGCUGCUCAUGUGGGCAAACUUCCUCACAAGCCUGCGGGAUUGGACUCCACACCGUGGCAGCUUCAGCUGCAGUACUGCAUCAUCGCAGAUGCCGCAGCAGGAACGGCCACAACACAGCUUGAACAGCGGUGCAGAGGGUCACCUCACUGUCGGCGGCAUGUCCCCUCCCUUGACCGCCACGACCGCACCGCACCACGAGCACACCGCCAGCUCCGAGGACCUCUUCGGCGACGACGCGAACGAGACGGCGGACAUGGUGCAGCGCGUGUCUCACGCUCUCGUUGAGCGACUCGAGACAGGCCAGGAGCCCCUGCCGGCGCUGCGACGUGCUCUGUUCCCGAACGGCGCCAACGACAUAGAGACCGGCGCCCCGGCUGCUGGCGCGUCGGCACAUGUGGACAAAGCCCUUCCCGUCUCUUCCAUCGAGCAGGAGUUCGCCUCAGCGCAGCACGCCUUCGCCGCCACGGCUGGCAAGGAGAGCGAUGAAGUAAAGCUCAAGUUCUACGGCCUCUUCAAGCAGGCAACCGUCGGUGACGUGAAUACGGACCGCCCUGGCAUCUUCGACUACGCGGGAAAGGCGAAGUGGGACGCCUGGUCGAAGCUGAAGGGGAUCAGCCUGCUGGAUGCGAAGCGCAUGUACGUGAGUGAGUACAAGAUGAUGGUGGAGCUGCGCAAGUCUCGGAAGUAGGCUUUACAACAUACAACGCCGGGGAAGGGAAAAGCAAAGGGAGGAGGGGGGAGCAAGAGGGAUCAGGAACAAUGUCCUUGUUGAUGUGCGCACGUGCGUGUGUCUGUCUGCUCUCCUCACUCGCCAACCCGUCUCCCUCCUGUUUUGCCCGCGGUAGCUGUAUGCGUUGGUGCUCUGCUGCCCUCUCACUCCCUCUCCCUGCGGUCAGUACGUUCGUAAGCGUGUGGAGCUGCUGCGUCUUUGGUGGCGCGUUGCCGCUCAUUACCAUCCCAUCGUCCUCUUCGCCCCCUUUCUUGCUUGUUCCGGCUGCAUCACGAACGUGAGCGAGAGGAAGCGGAGGAAAGCGACGCCUCGUUAUCCAGACGGCGUUGACCUCUCCUUCGCGGCCUGUAUGCGUGUGUUCGGCCAGUGUGAUCGAUGUGUUGGCAGAUGCGGGGGAGGGGGGGGGAUGGCGGCAUCAGCCUAUCGCUCUCACUCUCUCUGUGCAUGUAUGCGUUUACGCGUG
rnacentral:misc_RNA from 1 species